GACGAACGCUGGCGGCGUGCCUAAUACAUGCAAGUCGAGCGGAAGUUGAAGAGCUUGCUCUUCAACUUUAGCGGCGGACGGGUGAGUAACACGUGGGCAACCUGCCCUGCAGAUCGGGAUAACUCCGGGAAACCGGUGCUAAUACCGAAUAGUUUUGGGUCCCUCCUGGGACCUAACGGAAAGACGGUUUCGGCUGUCACUGCAGGAUGGGCCCGCGGCGCAUUAGCGAGUUGGUGGGGUAACGGCCCACCAAGGGGACGAUGCGUAGCCGACCUGGGAGGGGGAUCGGCCACACUGGGGAUGAGACACGGCCCAGACUCCUACGGGAGGCAGCAGUAGGGAAUCGUCCGCAAUGGACGCAAGACUGACGGAGCAACGCCGCGUGAGUGAUGAAGGUUUUCUGAUCGUAAAACUCUGUUGCGAGGGAAGAAACCGUGCCAAUUAACUACUGGCACCUUGACGGUACCUCGCCAGAAAGCCACGGCUAACUACGUGCCAGCCGCCGCAGUAA
rnacentral:rRNA from 1 species